rnacentral:tRNA from 1 species
GGAGAGAUGACAGAGUGGCCGAAUGUGCCCGACUCGAAAUCGGGUGUACCAGCGAUGGUACCGAGGGUUCGAAUCCCUCUCUCUCCGCCA